rfam:Blumeria graminis f. sp. hordei DH14, WGS project CATH01000000 data, contig: 001545
ACUCCAGUGACGCAGUGGUUAGCGUGUCGUUCUUAUACUAUUCUGGCAAUGCCGAAUAAUAUGACCUGCAUGGGGAAUGCGAAAGUCGUGGGUUCGACACCCACCUGGAGUA